rnacentral:rRNA from 1 species
GAUGAACGCUAGCGGCAGGCCUAAUACAUGCAAGCCGAACGGCAAGUCUUUUAGCAAUAGAAGACCUAGAGUGGCGUAAGGGUGCGUAACACGUAUGCAAUCUGCCCUCAACAGGAGGAUAGCUCCCCGAAAGGGGAAUUAAGCCUCCAUAGGAUCGUAAUGUGGCAUCACAUAGCGAUUAAACUACCAGGGGUUGAGGAUGAGCAUGCGCAUGAUUAGUUAGUUGGCGGGGUAACGGCCCACCAAGACGAUGAUCAUUAGGG